rnacentral:lncRNA from 1 species
CUGUCAAUCACUAUCUUAUCUGGAAGAUUAACUCCCACUUGAUUCAAGCGAUUGUAGUACUCAGACAAUCUGGGCACAUGCUCACUAGUUGAGCGAUUCUCCUCCAUCUUUUAGCUAUAAAACUUGUUGGAGACUUCAUAUCUCUCAACUCGGGUAUUUGCUUGAAAUAUUAACUUCAACUCCUGGAACAUCUCAUAUGCUCCAUGACGUUCAAAACGUCUUUGAAGUCCCGAUUCUAAGCCAUUAAGCAUGGUGCACUAAACUAUCAAGUAGUCAUCAUAUUGAGCUAGCCAAACGUUCAUGACGUCUGCAUCUACUCCUGCAAUAGGUCCAUCACCUAGCGGUGCAUCAAGGACAUAAUUCUUCUGUGCAGCAAUGAGGAUAAACCUCAGAUCACGGAUCCAAUCCGCAUCAUUGCUACUAACAUCUUUCAACACAAUUUUCUCUAGGAACAUAUCAAAAUAAACACAGGGAAGCAACAACGCGAGCUAUUGAUCUACAACAUAAUUUGCAAAAUACUACCAGGACUAAGUUCAUGAUAAAUUUAAGUUCAGUUAAUAAUAUUACUUAAGAACUCCCACUUAGAUAGACAUCCCUCUAAUCCUCUAAGUGAUUACGUGAUCCAAAUCAACUAAACCAUGUCCGAUCAUCACGUGAGAUGGAGUUGUUUCAUUGGUGAACAUCACUAUGUUGAUCAUAUCUACUAUAUGAUUCACGCUCGACCUUUCGGUCUCCGUGUUCCGAGGCCAUAUCUGUAUAUGCUUGGCUCGUCAAGUAUAACCUGAGUAUUCCGCGUGUGCAACUGUUUUGCACCCGUUGUAUUUGAACGUAGAGCCUAUCACACCCGAUCAUCACGUGGUGUCUCAGCACGAAGAACUUUCGCAACGGUGCAUACUUAGGGAGAACACUUCUUGAUAAUUUAGUGAGAGAUCAUCUUAUAAUGCUACCGUCAAUCUAAGCAAGAUAAGAUGCAUAAAAGAUAAACAUCACAUGCAAUCAAUAUAAGUGAUAUGAUAUGGCCAUCAUCAUCUUGUGCUUGUGAUCUCCAUCUUUGAAGCACCUUCGUGAUCACCAUCGUCAUCGGCGCGACACCUUGAUCUCCAUCGUAGCAUCGUUGUCGUCUCGCCAAUCUUAUGCUUCCACGACUAUCGCUGCCACUUAGUGAUAAAGUAAAGCAUUACAGCGCGAUUGCAUUGCAUACAAUAAAGCGACAACCAUAUGGCUCCUGCCAGUUGCCGAUAACUCGGUUACAAAACAUGAUCAUCUCAUACAAUAAAAUUUAGCAUCAUGUCUUGACCAUAUCACAUCACAACAUGCCCUGCAAAAACAAGUUAGACGUCCUCUACUUUGUUGUUGCAAGUUUUACGUGGCUGCUAUGGGCUUAAGCAAGAACCAAUCUUACCUACGCAUCAAAACCACAAUGAUAGUUUGUUAAGUUGGUGCUGUUUUAACCUUCGCAAGGACCGGGCGUAGCCACACUCGGUUCAACUAAAGUUGGAGAAACUGUCACCCGCUAGCCACCUUUGUGCAAAGCACGUCGGGAGAACCGGUCUCGCGUAAGCGUAUGCGUAAUGUCGGUCCGGGCCGCUUCGUCCAACAAUACCGCCGAACCAAAGUAUGACAUGCUGGUAAGCAGUAUGACUUAUAUCGCCCACAACUCACUUGUGUACUACUCGUGCAUAUAACAUCAACAUAUAUAACCUAGGCUCGGAUGCCACUGUUGGGGAACGUAGUAAUUUCAAAAAAAUUCCUACGCACACGCAAGAUCAUGGUGAUGCAUAGCAACGAGAGGGGGAGAGUGAGAUCUACGUACCCUUGUGGAUCGACAACGGAAGCGUUAACUUGGUUGAUGUAAUCGUACGUCUUCACGGCCCGACCGAUCAAGCACCGAAACUACGGCACCUCCGAGUUCUAGCACACGUUCAGCUCGAUGACGAUUCUCGGACUCCGAUACAGCAAAGUGUCAGGGAAGAGUUCCGUCAGCACGACGGCGUGGUGACGAUCUUGAUGUACUACUGUCGCAGGGCUUCGCCUAAGCACCGCUACAAUAUUAUCGAGGACUAUGGUGGAAGGGGGCACCGCACACGGCUAAGAAUAUGAUCACGUGGAUCAACUUGUGUGUCUAGGGGUGCCCCUUGCCUCCGUAUAUAAAGGAUCCAAGGGGGGGUGCGGCCGUCCCUAGUAGGAGGCGCGCAGGAGGAGUCCUACUCCUACCGGGAGUAGGACUCCCCUCCCUUUCCUUGUCCAAGUAGGAGAGGGGGAAGGAGAGAAGGAAAAGGGGGGGCGCCGCCGCUCCCUCCUUGUUCAAUUCGGACUAGGGUGAGAGGGGGCGCGCGGCCUUCCCUGGCAGCCCCUCCUCUUCUCCACUUUAGGCCCAUGAGGCCCAUUAACCCCCCGGGGGGUUCCGGUAACCCCCCGGUGCUCCGGUUUUAUCCGAAACUUCCCCGGAACACUUCCGGUGUCCGAAUAUAGCCGUCCAAUAUAUCAAUCUUUAUGUCUCGACCAUUUCGAGACUCCUCGUCAUGUCCGUGAUCACAUCCGGGACUCCGAACUAACUUUGGUACAUCAAAACUCAUAAACUCAUAAUAUAACUGUCAUCGAAACCUUAAGCGUGCGGACCCUACGGGUUUGAGAACAAUGUAGACAUGACCGAGACACAUCUCCGGUCAAUAACCAAUAGCGGAACCUGGAUGCUCAUAUUGGCUCCUACAUAUUCUACGAAGAUCUUUAUCGGUCAGACCGCAUAACAACAUACGUUGUUCCCUUUGUCAUCGGUAUGUUACUUGCCCGAGAUUCGAUCGUCCGUAUCUCAAUACCUAGUUCAAUCUCGUUACUGGCAAGUCUCUUUACUCGUUCUAUAAUACAUCAUCUCGCAACUAACUCAUUAGUUGCAAUGCUUGCAAGGCUUAUGUGAUGUGCAUUACUGAGAGGGCCCAGAGAUACCUCUCCGACAAUCGGAGUGACAAAUCCUAAUCUCGAAAUAUGCCAACCCAACAUGCACCUUUGGAGACACCUAUAGAGCACCUUUAUAAUCACCCAUUUACGUUGUGACGUUUGCUAGCACACAAAGUGUUCCUCCGGCAAACGGGAGUUGCAUAAUCUCAUAGUCAUAGGAACAUGUAUAAGUCAUGAAGAAAGCAAUAGCAACAUACUAAACGAUCGGGUGCUAAGCUAAUGGAAUGGGUCAUGUCAAUCAGAUCAUUCACCUAAUGAUGUGAUCCCUUAAUCAAAUAACAACUCUUUGUCCAAGGUUAGGAAACAUAACCAUUUUUGAUUAACGAGCUAGUCAAGUAGAGGCAUACUAGUGACACUCUGUUUGUCUAUAUAUUCACACAUGUAUUAUGUUUCCGGUUAAUACAAUUCUAGCAUGAAUAAUAAACAUUUAUCAUGAUAUAAGGAAAUAAAUAAUAACUUUAUUAUUGCCUCUAGGGCAUAUUUCCUUCACUUUCAACUUAGUUUUAUCUAGGAACAUAUCAAAAAUAAACGGGGAGCUAGAUCGCGAGCUAUUGAUAUACAACAUAAUUUGCAAAUACUAACAGGACUAAGUUCAUGAUAAAUUAAGGUUCAAUUAAUCAUAUUACUUAAGAACUCCCACUUAGAUAGACAUCCCUCUAGUCAUCUAAAUGAUCACGUGAUCCAUAUCAACUAAACCAUGUCCGAUCAUCAUGUGAGAUGGAGUAGUUUUCAAUGGUGAACAUCACUAUGUUGAUCAUAUCUACUAUAUGAUUCACGCUCGACCUUUCGGUCUCAGUGUUCCGAGGCCAUAUCUGCAUAUGCUAGGCUCGUCAAGUUUAACCCGACUAUUCUGCGUGUGCAAAACUGGCUUGCACCCGUUGUAUGUGAACAUAGAGCUUAUCACACCCGAUCAUCAUGUGGUGUCUCGGCACGAAGAACUAUAGCAAUGGUUCAUACUCAGGGAGAACACUUGUACCUUGAAAUUUAGUGAGGGAUCAUCUUAUAAUUCUACCGCCAUACUAAGCAAAAUAAGAUGCAUAAAGGAUAAACAUCACAUGAAAUCAAUAUAAGUGAUAUGAUAUGGCCAUCAUCAUCUUGUGCCUUUGAUCUCCAUCUCCAAAGCAUCGUCAUGAUCACCAUCGUCACCGGCUUGACACCUUGAUCUCCAUCAUAGCAUCGUUGUCGUCUCGCCAACUAUUGCUUCUACGACUAUCGCUACCGCUUAGUGAUAAAGUAAAGCAAUUACAUGGCGAUUGCAUUUCAUACAAUAAAGCGACAACCAUAAGGCUCCUGCCAGUUGCCGAUAACGGUUACAAAACAUGAUCAUCUCAUACAACAAUCUAUAUCUCAUCACGUCUUGACCAUAUCACAUCACAACAAGCCUUGCAAAAACAAGUUAGACGUCCUCUACUUUGUUGUUGCAAGUUUUACGUGGCUGCUACGGGCUUCUAGUAAGAACCUACUUACCUACGAAUCAAAACCACAACGAUUUUUCGUCAAGUGUGUUGUUUUAACCUUCAACAAGGACCGGGCGUAGUCAAACUCGAUUCACCUAAAGUUGGAGAAACAGACACCCGCCAGCCACCUGUGUGUAAAGCACGUCAGUAGAACCAGUCUCAUGAACGCGUUCAUGUAAUGUUAGUCUGGGCUGCUUCAUCCAACAAUACCGCCGAAUCAAAGUAAGAUGUUGCUAGUAAGCAGUAUAACUAUUAUCGCCCACAACUCUUUGUAUUAUACUCGUGCAUAUAACAUCUAUGCUUAGACCUGGAUCGGAUGCCACUGUUGGGGAACGUAGAAUGCAAUUUCAAAAAAAUUCCUACGAUCACGCAAGAUCUAUCUAGGAGAUGCAUAGCAACGAGAGGGGAGAGUGUGUCUACGUACCCUCGUAGACCAAAAGCGGAAGCGUUUGUCAACGCGGUUGAUGUAGUCGUACACCUUCACGAUCCGUCCCGAUCAAGUACCGAAUGUACGACACCUCCACGUUCAGCACACGUUCAGCUCGAUGACUUCCUCGCCUUCUAGAUCCAGCAAGAGGGGCGAAGUAGUAGAUGAGUUCCGGCAGCACGACGACGUGGUGACGAUGUUGGUGAAGAACAAUCUCCGCAGGGCUUCGCCAGGCACAACAGAAACUAUGACGGAGGAUAAACUAGAGGGACGGGGUUGCCGGCACACGGCUUGGUGUUUCUUGAUGUGUUCCAGGUGCUAGCCCUGCCCCUCUAUUUAUAUGUUGAACCCUCGGGUCGAAACUUGGAGUAAAAGCCUCCUCAAAGUCAGUUUUGCCCGCAAGGGAGAGUCCUACUCGGACUUCCAGGACCAGACGCCAUAGUCCUUGGCGUCUGGCCUAGACGCCAUGGGCCUCAGCAUCUGGCCCUGGGCCAGACACCAGGGUCUCCGGCUUUUGGCCCCCUGGCCUCCGCAAAACUCCUUUUACACCUACCUAAAGCCUUGUGGGCUUCACCCCUUGGCCGAACCAUAACAUCCUAUAUAUAUAUCAAUCUUUACCUCCAUUGCUCCUCGUCAUGUCCGUGAUCUCAUCCGGGACUCUGAACAACAUCCGGUCACCAAAAUACAUAACUCAUAUAGUACUAUAUCGUCAAUGAACGUUAAGUGUGCGGACCCUACGGGUUCGAGAACUAUGUAGACAUGACCGAGACACCUCUCUGGUCAAUAACCAAUAGCAGAACCUGGAUGCCCAUAUUGGUUCCUACAUAUUGUACGAAGAUCUUUAUCAGUCGAACCUUAUGACAACAUAUGUUAUUCCCUUUGUCAUCGGUAUGUUACUUGCCCGAGAUUCGAUCGUCGGUAUCCUCAUACUUAGUUCAAUCUCAUUAUCGGCAAGUCUCUUUACUCGUUCCGUAAUACAUCACCCCGCAACUAACUCAUUAGUCACAUUGCUUGCAAAGCUUAUAGUGAUGAGCAUUACCGAGAGGGCCCAGAGAUACCUCUCCGAUACACGGAGUGAAAAAUCCUAAUCUUGAUCUAUGCCAACUCAACAAACACCAUCGUAGACACAGGUAGAGCAUCUUUAUAAUCACCCAGUUACGAUGUGACGUUUGAUAGCACACAAAGUGUUCCUCCGGUAUUCGGGAGUUGCAUAAUCUCAUGGUCAGAGGAAUAUGUAUAAGUCAUGAAGAAAGCAACAUCAAUAAAACUAUACGAUCAUUAUGCUAAGCUAACGAAUGGGUCUUGUCCAUCACAUCAUUCUCUAAUGAUGUGAUCUUGUUUAUCAAAUGACAACACAUGUCUAUGGUUAGGAAACUUAACCAUCUUUGAGUAACGAGGUAGUUAAGUAGAUGCAUACUAGGGACACUCUGUUUGUCUAUGUAUUCACACAUGUACUAAGUUUCCGGUUAAUACAAUUCUAGCAUGAAUAAUAAACAUUUAUCAUGAUAUAAGGAAAUAUAAAUAACAACAUUAUUAUUGCCUCUAGGGCAUAUUUCCUUCAGAUGCCGCCGAAGCGCCCCAUCGGAGGGAGUGGCGACGCCGAGGCUGCUAAAGCAUUGGAGCACGGCAUGGAGAUGGAGACAGAGGUUACCGUCAGCGCUGGCGAGUUAUCGCUGCACCCUGACAUCGUCGACGGCGUCGAGCUUCCACAGCCGGAGGCGGAGUUCCACACCGACUCUGGUGACGACCCCGACUCCGACUCCGACAACGACUCCGAUGACCACUUCGGCAAUGACUCCGACGACUACGGCUAGCUGGUUAGUCAUCUAUACCCAUUUAUGUGUCAAAUAGAUCAUAGGGUUUCUCUGGUUACUCUUGCCUCCCCUGGUUUGGAAUAGAAAUCCUAUGGUUAUGUUCUCCCAAUCCAUGAAAUCUGAGUAAGUUUCGUUAGAUCCGCGUAGUGUAUUGAUUGUUUGAAUGGUACAAGUGAUAAGUGAUUAGUUGUUUCAUAUGUGCAAAUGAUUUCUGCUAGUAAUCCGACCAGGGUUAGUGUUCAUGCUUAUAAUUCCUAGCCAGGACUUGACAAUUGAUUUUGAAUGACCUGCAUAGGUUUGUGCCAUUAUUUUCUUCAAGAUUGGUCUGUACAUAGACGAAUGUGCUUAAAAAUCGAACCAUAAUCUCUGGAUAUGUAUAAAUAAAUAGUCAUAAAUUCCUAAUCCUACUUCACGACAUGUAAUCUUUGAUUUGAUGCCAAAUUUAUUUUACUAUUUGUAUAAGUGCUAUCUGACGAUGUGGACAACGAGGAUGAAGGUGUCCAGAGGAGGUACAAGAGGCAAAUUCUGAGGGAGCUUUAUGCGGGAAUGCAUAACAGGCGUAUUAGGACCUGGAACGGCGGCUAUCGACGCCCAUUUUGUAACCAGAAACUUCAUGACGCGUAUCUAAGUGUUCUAGCGCAUGCAAGAGGACGCGUCGUUGGCUCCUUCAAGCAGAAGUAUUCUCGCAUGGUGGCGCACAGCGCGUACGCCGAGUACCUGGAGAAGCUUCAGGAUCGUGCCGACAUGUGAGAUGAGAUGUGGGAUGGAUCGAACUAUGUACGCUUGAAUAUGCUUAAUGACGGUUGAACUAUGUACUUAUGGUUGAACUAUGCUUAUGUACGUGUACGCUUAUUAUCUAUGUCUGAGUAUGUUAAAUAUUUGGUCAAAAUUUGGUAAAAAUUACAAAGAGGGACCGAUAAACCAGGACGGAGGUAGUACGUCAAUCACACACGGUUCCCAAAAUUGGAACCAUGUGCAAUGACUUUCAUUUUGCAUGUUGCGUCAAUCACACAUGGUUCGCUCUAGCAAACCGUCACCCCAAAAAUUCUUUGUGGGACAGAAAACCAUCACCAUCCAAUUCAAAAAAAAACCCUCACCAUCCCCACAUCACAAAACCCCUCACCCCACAUGCCACCCCCUUCCGGUACGUUCCUCAUUCACACCUGCACAAGCUCCUCCGCGUCUAUGCCAUGGCACCGCCUAUUGCGGCGGUAAACACUUAGCUCGAUGCCUGGCGCUGCCGCCAGGCUGCCGGCAAAGCCCACCGCAUUUUGCCACUUCCGCUUGCCGCUGCCUAUCGCCAUCGACUUUCUUGAUGCUGCUCACAGUCGACCCAGCUCCGCUCGGUUGGGGAAUCUGCCGUACUUAGGGUUCUUUCUCAUGGAUGACAAGGUAACUAAUUUAAUGAGAUAUUAUCUCAUCUCUUAUUCCAGUUCAUCUGCCUCCUUUAAUCACCCGACGGAAAUUGCCGUGAAUUCAUUUUUAUUUGAGCUGAUUUGAGGGUUUUCUUUCAUUCAUAGAAUCUAAAGUGCGCCCACACUUCAAGACUUUGCGACCUCCACCAGAGAUUCCAUCUCAUCGUACCAGAUAACUUGAGGACGCGCGCGAUAUGUUCAAUCUCACCCUAAAUCGGUUGGCAUGACCUACUUUCCUGAACAUAUUCUAAAUAUUGCUACAUUUGGAUAAAAGGUGCCACAUGCACCAUAUACGUCAAAGGGGAUCCCCCCUCUUCUUGCUAUAUUAGGCAAAUUAAUGAUGUAUUGUUCUUUCGAUUACUCUCAUAUUUCCAUGACAUCAUGUUUACCCUAUCUGUUUAAUUAUAGAUUUUUGUCCUUCGAUUUCAACUGAUGUACAGUUCUUUCAAUUUGGGCCAUAUUUGCAUGUUACCAUAUUUUCUUUAACAAUCCUACCAUUUUCUAUAGCACAUCCCUUGCUACGCAACAGAUUAUGUAGUGCACAAUUUUUCCCUUUACAUAGAUCAAGGUUGCACGGAUGUCAUACUGCAUACAAACCAUGGAUUUACAAUAAUUGCUACCGUAAGACUUGAUGAACGUGGUGAUUCCUAUUUUGGUACUGGCUUUUGGAAAGAAAUUUCUAAGUUUUAUGUACUGAAAGAUGACACUAAAAUUGCACUGCACAUAAAAGGGCCUGGUCAUGAGAUAUAUGCUAACUUCCCCAACAAAAUCAUCCAUCCAGACUUUGUUCAAAGUAAGUUUUCUUUUCAAUUAUCUGCAUGUUGACUUACCCAGCAAUGUCAAAUGAAUUGUGUAGUAUUUAAGCAACCAAUUGUUAUUCCCUUUUCUUACUAUAUUCCUACAUAAUAACUUCUAGUUACCAAUACACUUUUCUAUUACCCUAUUUUAACUAAAUAUUCCAUGUACUCUCAUUUCUAUCAAAAAGCGCCGCUGACAAUGAGACCCUGGAGGUGGAGAACGAGGCUGCCAACAAGCGGAGGCGGGGCGAGCUAGAACCGUAAGCGACUCUAGCAGGCCUAGACUUCAUCAGCAGCCUCCCCGAUGAUAUGUUGAGAGUCAUCAUCUCCCUCCUCCCAAUCAAAUAUGGGGCGCGGACAAUCGUCCUUCCCAACGAUGGCGCCCCCUAUGGAACUCCAGCCCUCUCGAUCUCAUCGACACCCAUGAGCUCUGCCAUGGCUAUUGCAAAAGCUUGGAUGCAUUCUCCAAGAUCCUCUGCAGUCACCUUGGCCCAACCAAAGGCCUUAAAAUGGGCAAGUUCCGUUCCAACGGCAAGGACCGAGCCAAGCUUGACAACUGGUUCCGAUCACCCGCCCUAGAUCAGCUCAAGGAGCUCACUUUUGAUGAUGGGCAUAUGCGGUCGCUGCCAACGUCCACACUCCGCCUCGCGCCCACGUCGCGCGUCACCAAGUUCAGGAACUGCCAUUCCCUCCCCCCCCCGUUAAUGACGCGCACGCUCUUAUUCUAUCACGACUGAAGCACCUCGAGCUCGUCGUCGUCUGCCUCUCAAACGGUGACAUGGAUCGCCUGCUCCGUGGUUGUAUUGCACUCGAGUACCUUCGUCUUCAGGCAAUCAAUGGGUUGAGUACCUUCCACAUCACCUCCAUGACCCUCCGGACUAUUUAUGUGUGUUACUGGUGCGGCAGGAAGACAUCACAAGAUGUGUACCACGAUAUGGUCAUUGAGGACACGCCCACACUUGAGAGAUUACUUGUAGUUGAUCAAGAAGGUCCAACAAGAAUCAAUGUCAUUUCUGCGCUGAAAUUGACAGUGGUGGGCUAUUCGUCUAACAAAUACUCCGAACUUGUUAUUGGAUCCACACCCGUUCAGGUACAACAGCCGCCUUCUACCUCUUCUUCUACAAAUUAACAUUAUUUUUAAUUUUUAAGAUGUUUGUUAGUCUGUCAUUCAGAAAAUGAUUCCGACAAGCUUGACCCCGAAAUUGCGCACAAUGAAAGUCUUGGCACCAGAAUCUAUCGGCCCCAACCUAGAGCAAGUUGUCAGUUUCCUGAGAUACUUUCCAUUCCCGGAGAAGCUAUAUAUUGAGGUGAUGUGUCUUUCCUAUUAAAUGUUAACCAUAAGGGAGUUCAAUUUGUGACACCUUUUUCCAAGUUUACAAUGACAAUGUACUAUGAUUUCUGAAGGUUCUUUUGGACGAUUUCAGUACAUACAUGUCCCCCCCCAUAUUGGUUGCUUGAUCCAUAUGGUUACAAUCAAUAAGCAUUCCUCCUUUGGGUUCAUCUGUACUAGUUUUCUGAGGGAACUUUUCAUCCACUCCAACCUCUUGUGAAGAAGGCUACAUUUUUCUAGAAUGUAAUCAAAUGCCCAUGUUAAUCAUGUCAGGUCGAAGAUGGCAUGUUAGUGCAUUUUAUAAAUCCUACAAACCAAAUAGGUCUAUAGUAAUGUUCAAAACUGCAUGUAGGCACUAACACAUUUUCUUAUUUUGCAGAUAAGAUUAGGUCCAGUGGUGGAUAAUGUGAUACAAUAUAACAAUCAUGUCGAAUGGCUAGAUCCGCCUCUCUCAAAAAUUACUUUGAACUCAUACCGAGGGACCUCACCGGAGAUUAUAUUCGCUAGGUUCUUUGUUCUUAGAGCAAGGGUGCUGAAGGAAAUGAGGUUUGCCCUACAUUUAUUUCGUAAAAAUGAAUGGUUUGUUGAUCAGCGUCGGCGCCUGUGGCAGAAUGGAGUAGGCUCCAAAAAUGCAGAAUUUCAUUUUGGAACUUCGGAUGACAGAGUAAUCGGAAGUCAUCGUGUCAACCCUAUACAUGACUUCUCAGUGGCUGACCCCUUUGCAAAAAUUGUGAGAUUUCGAAACCAGACUUAGAAGCGGUGAUGUUAGUUUGAACCUCUCUGAUAUCCAUGUUCAGCGGAUCAGCGCGAGUGUUUACAACUGAUGAGCUGAAUUUCAUUUCUAAUAUCAGUCUGAACCUUGUAAUCUUCAAAUUUGAGCCAUAUAACUCUGGAAUUUGAACCUUGUAAUAUUUCGAGUUUUUGUGGUACAAUCGUUGAAAUGGCAUCAUAUGAGACUCAUAUAUUGCUAGCACUAUUUUGACCUCAAUAUGCAAUGGUCUUAGAUUUUAUUAUCCAUUCUCGAAUCUGUUUAUCUUGUCGAUCUCACAGCACACGAUAUGUAUAGCUAACUUGACUGCGAUCUUCGACAUUAUUGCAUGCAGUUGGUUUCUUCCACCAUGUGCAUUGUAGAGCACAGAAUUAAUUAUCGCACUCGAGUGUCCAUCAUCACACCCUUAUGUGUAAUUUUGACCUCAUCACUCAUGGGUAAACUUAUGACCGAAGUCAUUCCACACACUUCAUUUUUACAAAGCCUUUUGCCAAUAAAUGCCCAUGAUUUGUCCCUCUUCUAGCCGCAGUGUGGCCAAACUAGCCGGGCGGGAAGCUUGUGCGGUAAAUAGCGCGGUAGCGCGGGAACAGGCUCACCGACUAUACAUUUGGCGCCUCUUCGAGCCUAUGCUUGCGGUGCGGUGUUGUCAAGCGUGCACUGAAAUCCUCCGCUAUGAACGCCGUGACAAGACGUGACGAUUACAGGCCGGCCGGCCCCCAUUUAUUACAGCGGGCAUUUAACCCUUGUGUCUCUUCAACCUUUCGAUCGCUCACCACCAUUGCAAGAAGCACACUCACCAUGAGAAAUUCUUAGAGGGUAUCCCGCGCGGCUCCAAUGGCACUCCGAGCGGCUGCCGACGACGAGCAACAGUUCAACAUGUGUGCCGUGGUGGACACCCACAGAAGGUUCAUGGACCUCUCGGUGGUGUACACCAACGACCCGGUCUGGGUGGAGCACUUCAUCCACAUCAUGGAGCUGUUGCUUGCCGAGGAGAAGUACAAGGUGGUCGGGUUCGACCUCGAGUACACCCGUGCUCGUGCCGGGUCUCGUCCCAAGGUCGUCGUCGCCUAGAUGUGUGUGCGCCGCCAUGUCCUCGUCUACCACUACUGCCUGGGCACAAGUCCUUGCGAGCGUUUCGCUAGGUUUGUCAACAGCCCCCACUACAUGUUUGCUACGGUGGACAUCACCAACGAUGUAAAGGCGCUCGAGAAUUCGGGCAUCGCCUGCCAGAAUCUUGUCGACAUCUAGGGCCAAUACAAGAUCUGGGGCAGCAAGGAGCAUGAGAAGGACUCACUGGUUCACCUCGCCGAGGCCAUCAUCGACCCCUACUACAGAGACACGAAGGAUUCGUGCAACAAGGACAAGCGUGCCUGACACUCGGCCUGGAUGGAGAAACUCGACAAAGCUCACGUCGUGUAUGCGGCCAAGGAGGCAUACAUGAGCUACGAAAUGUACAUGCGGAUCGUUGACAUGAGGAAGUGCCUCCUUCCCCAAAAUGGUCAGGGAUCCAGCCGGAAGCAGAGCAAUGGCAAGUGUCGUUGCAACAAUAAGUAGAUGAUUAGAUCCUCGUUUCUCCUACUUUAGUAUGCAUUUAAUUGCUUACUUUGGUGCGUGGAAAUGUUAUGUGUGUAGUCAUUUGUGUAAUUGUAUACUUAAUUUGGUUAUGCAAUGUUGUUUUUGUAAGUAUAUAUGUUGAUGCUCUGUAGAGAGAGCGUAGAUGUUGUGCGGACAAAGAAAAUCACAUCGCACACGGACUAAACAAUGGAACCUAUUGGUGAUGUUUUCAUCAACCACUCACAAUUGUAUACCGGCAAUCGUUUGCUCACAACACACACGGCUUGUUAGUAGUAAUCGACUAUGUUGUUAUCGGUCUUCGCACACGUUUUCGAUUAUAGACCUGUUUGCCACGUAUCACACACAUCUUAUUAAGUUGAAUCGUUUCUGUUCUCAUGUCUUAACGCAAAUAGUUCAUCCGAGUGAACCGCAUGUCGUAUAUCGCACACACCUUGAUCUGGCUGACCGUUUCUUUUGUGUUGCCUAAUCAUAAACAGUUCUUCCGAGUGAACGUAUGUUGUACAUCGCACACACCUUCAUCUCGCUGCCCGUUUCUUUUGUGUUACCUAAUCAUAAAUAGUUAAUUGAGCUGAACCGUAUGCCUUGCAUCUCACACGCAACUAAAAUCUGAACCAUGUUUGAUGCAUCCUCAAUCGCAAACAUUUUGCACCUUUUUGACGGGUUUUUUACACCAUCGUUUGUGAUUAUGGCAUCGCACACAGUUUCGUCGAAGGGUCUCUGAUCGUACUGUCACGUUAGCAGCAUCCUGUAGUAGUGAUACCCUAUAUUUUAAUGCUCCGUCAGGUACAUGGGCGACAGCCGCAACUCCGUCUCCCGCGACUCCUCCAUGUCGGCCUCUGCAUCCAUCUCCGCUUCGACCUCCUUGAAGAGGGCGUCAGUUGCCGCCCGUUCCUGCCGGAUGAAUUGCCGGUUGGCCUCUAUAUAGGCCUCAUCCUGGAUGGACUCCAGAAUGGCCUGCUGCUCCGCCAUCUCGUCUGCUUGUGCAACGGCGAACUCCGCCUCCACGUCCUCCAUGUUGAAGCCCGAAGCCGCUCUUGCUUUAGCUGCUUAGGCUCGUCCACCUCCUUCUCCACCUCCAUCGGAGCCGGCUGCUGCUCCUUUCCCUCAUCCUCCUUUGCCCGCUCCUCCUCCUCCGGUUUCGGCAAGUUCGGAGGCAGCCCGACAGCGAUGCAGGCGGUGCGCGCGGUGCACCUCGCCCGGAUCUCCUGCUCGAUCUGGUACCGGCGCUCCGACGUGAACAUAUCGUAGGUGGUUAUCUUUUGCCAGACCAUGGAGAAGCUGGAGAGCAUGCGAAGAGCGACAGAGCGGGAGAGAGGAGGUGGAUGGGCUCAGGUAGGCGGCGGGAUAGGGUUGGGUGAUGCCAGCCGAAUUAAAUAGUCGGAUUUGGCCUCGGGCGGCGAGCCGAAGUAGAACCACACGUCGUUCACACCCCCACCGGAGGAGACGUCUGUCGGACCACCGGAUUUUCGGGCGAUUUCGUGUGGGACCUCGUCGUUAGUCCAAUGUGGCAGACGUGUCCGGGCGCCCUCAUAUCCGCCCCAUAUUUGGGUUGACUAUGAGGGGUGCCGUUCAGCUCAGAUGUUUAAGGCCCAUUUGAGGCGCCCGUGUCGGUCGAAUUUUCAUGACCGGACCGUCCGCCCGGGCAUCUGAGGCCAGUUUGGGGUGCCCGGAUGUAGAUAUAUCUUAAGACAAAACAGACGCAAACGCUCAUAUAUACGCGCACAUAUUCACCCCUAUGAACGCACAUACACGCAUCCUACCUCUAUUAGCACCUCGGAAAAGAUCGAGUCGGCAUAUUAUCUUAGAGAUUUUACGAAGUCACCGUAACGCCUGUAGUCAACUGAAAUGCCUUCCACUAAACAUGCAUCACCGAAAAUCCUGCAAUAAAUUCAAGAUAAAUGCCAACACUAAAAUUUAAAACCUAUGGGCUGAGGAGACCGCUGUUCACUAAAGCAAACAGCGGCAGGCCACCAUGCACCCGGUGGCGUCCGGAUCCAAAAUACGACGCCCCCCCUUCAAAAAAAAAAUACGACGCCCCGCACAGCACAGCACCGCACCGCACCGCAGCGAAAUUCUAAAUUUAAAUUUACUGGCGUUUAUUACUGAUCCAGUUAAGUAACCGCGGCAAUCCGCGUAUACAAUGACAUCUUCCGGAUCUCCUCCGUGGUUUAAUGAUAUUAAACUAGUGGGUGUUUUCAAGGAAUAUCUUAAUUUCAUUGAGAGUAGAAGUAGUAGGCCAGCGGUGCGGUGAAGGUUGGUGGCCGGCGGGCCCCGCCGACAAUCACCCGCCCCGCCACGUCGGAGCCCACGAGCAGAACGUUACGCGAAAGAGAAAAAGAAAAGAAAAGAAAAAAAAGAAAAGAAAAAAAAAGCGGAUGAGACGGGGAGAUGCCCGGGCCCGCGCGUGGGCCCCGCCCGCCCCCCACUGCCUGCCUGGAGACUUUCCCUCGUGCCCUUUUAACCCACCCGCAGCGACCGGUGCGCGCAGGCGCCACGUCAGCCGGGUGAAACCCUCCGCACUGUCCAGAUCAGGCCCAUCCACGCGUGGUGGUCCCCCGGGCCAAAGCCGAUCGAUGGCGUAGCGCCACUUCUUUAUUCUUUUCCUACUUGCUUUAUUUAUUUUGCGUGGAGUGUUAAGUUUUUUACUAGAGGAUAAAAAAAUUGGUUGGGGAAGGGAACAAAUGGGCGGGGCGUGGCGCCAUCACCCACCCACCCACCUGCUAUAGCCCGUGGACGGUUCGGGGACUCACCCCGCUCGGCUGCCCCGCCACGUGUCGGCCAUCGGGCCAUGCUUGUUGCGUAAGGAAGCGUCCACGAGAUUUUAUCGCGUGUUCCGUUGGGUGCUGGGCGGUGGGGGCGGCCACGGUGGCAGGCGCGGGGGCGGGGCCGUCGGAUGCGUGGGGCGGAUCCUGGCCGUCGGAUGCGGGCAUGGGCAGCGACAAAAAGAGGAUGAGGCCUAGAAAGCGAGCCACAAGGGGAGGGGAGGAGGCCACACCAGACCAGAGAAGCAGCAGCCAUUUCCUUCCAGCCGAGGGAGACGAGACGAGAGGAGAGCACUCUUCCCUCUAGGAGAGGAGUAGCAUCGUGAGAGAGAGGGAGAGGGAGGAGAUACUCGUGAGCGCGAGGGGAAGGAGAAGGACAAGGAGGGCGGGCUCUCUCGCUCUCUCCCGCUGCCUUGUCGAGGCGGUUGGUGCGUGGAUCUGCGCGGCGGCGGCGGUGCCUGCCGGACGCCGGCGACUAGGCGGGGAGAUCGGAGGCGCAUGCCUCAGAUCUGACAUGGAGCGGAUCCGGGAAGGAAGGAGGGCCGCACUGGCCAUGUCCGGCGGGGCGCCUCCGCCGCGGCGCCGGCUCAGGAGCAACGGCGGCGGCGUCUCCGGCGGCGCGGGGCCGAGGGACUCGCCUCGGUCCGAGAGGAGGCGGGGGGACCGCCUCAUGCUCAACGGCAACGGCCGCGACGACGGCGACGACACCUCCGACGACAGCCUCGGCGACGACGACGACGACCCCGACGAGGAGCUCGCCGCCUCCGCGCCCAGGUUCCCGUCGGUGCAGCGCCGGUCACCCAGCACGGCGCCUCCGCCGUCCCCGCCACAGCCUGGCGCCGCGCACCAUCACAGCAGCAGCAGCAGCGGCGGCGGCGGCGGCGGUUACAACAACCACCACCACCACGGCCCGCAGUCGAUGCACCGGAAGGGGGGCUCCAAUCCCAAGGGCCCCAUAGUGUGGAAGGCCGCCGACGAAAUGAUCGGCGUUCCAGUCCCGAGGAAGGCGCGCUCAGGUAUGCUAUGCACCGCAAAACAAGCAAAUUUCCACCCUUGUUGCCGCUUCUCUUUCCCUGAUCUCGACGGCGUUCCUCGUGUUUUCCGCAGCUUCUACCAAGAGGUCUUCGCACGAGUGGACAGGCCCCGGCGGUGGGAGCGGCGGCGGCGCCGCUGUAGACGGCUCGCAGAUCCAGCGGCCUUCUUCACGGCCGAUCUCGCCGGCUUCCACAUCGGCCACCGCCCCUGCUCGGAAAAAGCUGGUGCGUUUUUCAGGCCGACACAAUCCAUCUCCCCUCAUGAUUCCUUAAACUCUUGCCCUUACUGAUUUCCCUCUCUCCGGUGUCUCGCAGAAAACACUUGGCGGCGGUGGGAGCAGCGGCGGUUCUGGGCCUGUACCGAAGCAGCGGCCGUCGCCGGCUUCAGCUCCUUCGGCAGCCCCGCCUCAGCCGCCACCAGCAAAGAUUUCCAAGUCGCCAUCGUUCAUUCAGGAGGAGAUCGAGGUCGCCGAGGUGCUAUUUGGCCUGACGCGGCAGUUCCCCUGCCCUCCCAAGCAGGAGAACAUGAACCACAAGCCGGAGCCCAAGGACGCGCCGGAGGCCAAGUCCGGGAACUCUUCGCCGGCUCCGUCGUCAUCUGUCGUCCGGCCGGCAGAUUCAGCCUCUCUCACCACUAUAGGUGGGCAGCUCGUCAAUUUUGAUCUUACAAUGAUUUUUUGUUGCUAAUUUUGGUUUUGUGGGUCUAAUAAGCUUCCUCACUGCUUUUGCCAGCCCCAAAGAGGAAGCGGCCACGGCUCGCCAAGUACGACAACGAGAACCGCCCGGCGAGCCCAGCAAAACCGGACACGGCAGAGCCGCCCGCAAGGCCGGAAGUGCUUCCGGUGGCAAGAUCAGAUGCGAAGCCGUCCGUGUCGGCUGUGGCCGAAAGUGUCGCCAGCACCGCCGCCGCCGCCGCCACCGCUGGCGCGCAGCAGGAGGCUACCCGGGAGCCAGAGAAGAGGGAGGACCACAGAGGAAGAGAUCCAGAGCUCCGGGCCAGUGAAUCAGAUCGACGGGAUCCCGGGCCCGAGAGCAGCCGGGCCGAGCCGCCGGCAGCAGCAGUCAAGCCCGACGGCGAGGCUGCUGCGCCGGUCGGCUCUGAGGCCAGGAAUGGGGAGGCCACCACCGCGACAAAGAGGUGGGCCAUUUGGAUUUUUUAUAUUAUUGGUGUUGUGAUAACCAUUAUUGCCUUUGGAUUGUGCCGAUCUGAUUAGUAUAUUCACGAUUUCGCGUGAAUUGUUUUAUUUUUUUAUCAGUGAGCUGGCAUCCGAUGGCGCUCGGCAAGAAAAGUUUUGCAUUGAUCUCAUGGUGGGUAUAUGCUUUCAUGUGUGUGGUUGAAUUGGUCUUGCGGAAUUUGCUGGGCAAAGAUUGAAAACGACAAUUUUUUGCCGCAACUGUUGAUUGGCUUUUUUGUUUUCUUUUCAGCCCUUUUUUCAUCUCACCUUUUUCUCUCCCCUUGUGCUUGUUCCAGGCUCCCCCUCCUGGGAAGCUAUCUCCUGAUAGAGAUGGCUCUUCCGACCCUGAUGCGGAUAAGAAGGGAUUGGAUUCUGAGAUGGACGUGGUGGGUGCCUCUGUCUGCUUCAGUUUCACCAAUUCUGUUGAUUGACCUCCUUAGCGGCUGGAGCAUUGGAUGUUUGAUUCUGAUCGGUCCAUUUGUUGUUCAUCUUUUGCUGGGAUUUCAGGCCGGGAGAGGAAAUUCUGAAAAGAAAGAUGGCGAGAGGACCCGGAGAGGCCUGGAGAUCAAUCUGGAGGACGAGAAGGCGCAAAGGAUUCCGGCGGAGGAGCUUGCUCCAAAGAAGCUCACUCUGCAGCUUGAUUUGGAGAAGCCCAGCCAAGGGGACGAAAAGUCGCCAUCUGAGCGCAGACAGCCGCCAUUGCCGCCACCGCAGCAGCAGCAGCACAAGCCCUCAAAGUCCGAGGUCAAGCAUGAGAAAUCACGUAAGAAUUUCGCCUGGUUCUUCCCCAUUUUCUCACUGCUUUUGUAAAAGGUGAUUCUUUGUUGACUUGGGUUUUUCCUCAUCUGGCAGCUCUACCUGCUGCUUUACCCCCUAUGCCAAUGACCGUAGGCGGCUGGAUGGGGACUUUCCCACCUUUUAGGUGAGUUUUCACUGCUGUUCGAUGUUUUACACGCACUCUUGCUCCCUGAAGGAUUUGUGGUCUAAAAUCUGUUGUUUCUUACCUUGGCAGUUACAUUGCUCCUGUUCCUGGACUAUCAGCUCCUGGGCUUCAUCAUCCUAUGGACAUCAAGCCAGGGACUUCUGCUGGAUUACAGGUUCGCUUUCUCACUUAAGCUAUGGUGUGGUUUCUGUCUUUGGAGUGAAUUUCUUUGCCAAGUCUAAAGGUUUCCUAUAUUGCAGCAUCCUGCAUUGCCUCCACUGCCAGUACGCCCCAAGCGCUGCGCUACACAUUGUUACAUCGCACAGCAGAUCCAAUACCACCAGCGAAUUACAAAGAUGAACUCUUUCUGGCCCACAACAGCGGCUGCCGCUGCUGCUGCCGCCGCCACAAGAUCUGCACCAUUCUUUGGUCCAAGAGGACCAUUCAACAUGGGCGUCGUUCCACCUGCGGAGGCUGCCUCCCUUCUCGCGAACCCAAUGCAGGGGAGCUACCCUGUUCGGGCACACGCCCCGCUGCAAGAAACUAAGGCUCCUUCAAUGGUGCCUUCUCCUUUCCAGGGGAGCCUCUCCAAGGAUAAAGCGGCAUCCAGCAGUGCCAGUGUUGCUGAAUCAAACCAAAGGAAGCAACCUCCAGCUCUUGAAGCGCAGCAGUCCUCUCCCAUGCCACCAAACAUGAUGGUAUGCUUGUCGUGGAUUUAUGCUAUUCAUUACUAGUAUUUCUUAUGGUUCUUUUUGGUAAUUUUUUCCUUAUAUAAUUUCCCGUGCACCCUUUGUUUUUUACAGCAAGCGCCAACAUUCAUCUUUCCAUUCAACCAACAUGCUGCAGCAGUAGCAGCUGCAACUGCCGCUGCCAAUCGAAUGGGAGAUACAAAAUCUUCUGGCACCAGCAGUGCGAUGCCGUCAUCUGCCACUGCCCACGCUUCAGCAGCACACGCUGGCGCAUCGGCCAUGAACUUGAGCUUUGCCAACUUGCAGCCGGGUGAUGCCCAGUUCUUGGCCAUCUUACAGAACGGCUACCCAUUCCAGCUCGCUGCUGCUCAUGCUGGAGGAGCUCCAUCAUAUCGAGGCAUGGCACCACCAGGCCCAGGUGUACCGUAUUUCAACGGGCAUGUCUACUCUCCCCACAUGUUGAACCCAUCACAGCAGCAAGGUACGCAGCAACAAAAUCAUCAGAAAAACUCAAUGCCAAGCUUGUCUGGUUCCUCUCAGAAGCAUCAGCCACAACAAUCACAAGGGUUGCUGGGAUAUGCACCAAAUGCUAAUGCUGCUGCUGCCGCUGCCGCAGCUGCCGCAGCAGCCGCUGCCAACAGUUCCCAGAGCUAUUCGAGCGGCAACCAGCGUCCUGUUCUUCUACAUGGCCUCGCUCACCGACAGGAUCCAGACAAGACUCUGCAAGAUGGCCAGUCAAGUGAUGACAAGUCUUCACACCAUCAGAAGGGUGGGCAUGAACAUAAUUUUGCUAUUCCAAUGCAUCUUCCAAAUUUUGCGUUGAUGCCAUCUGCUGGGAAUCAGAGUGAGAAGAAAUCGAAUGAUCACCACCAGCAGCCACCAACCAGUCGAGGCCAGGGGGUUCGAAUUGAUCUUGCUUCAUCUCAGCCUUUUGUGAUGCCCUUUGGUUCCAUUGGCGCUCCUGGUUCUGCUCCAAAUGGUCUUGACUUCUCGUCAUUGGCACAGAACCAUGCGCUUUUCCAGAGCCAUCAAGAAGCAGGCCGGCAUGGUUACCCUCAGCUCAAUUUUGCUUCAGCCCAGUCUGUUCAAGGUGCACAGCAUAAACCCCAGCAUCAAAAUGCUGCAGAAGCUAAAUCUGUGGCUGGGGAUUCAUCUUCAACGCCAAGUGCUGGAGAUAAUGAGAGAAAGAAAUCUGCAUCUGCAAAGUACCCGAGUGAUUCACAGCAGCAUUCUCUUUCUUUCUCUAAGCCAGAAAACAAGUCUUUUAUGCACCCUUUCCUUGGUAGCAGUGCUAAUGAGCCCUCAGUCCGCACUUUGAGCCUUAUUGGUGCGGAAUCUUCGAAUGCCUUUGGGUUAGGCAGCAGCAAAUCUUCAAGUGCUUCUACUGCAGCAGCUACGUCAGCUGCAGCCCCAUCUGCACCGACCAUGUCCCAGCAGCAGCAACAGCAGCAAAUUCAGCUGCAGCUGCACCAACACCAUCAGCACCAGAUGCAGCAACAAUUCCAGCAGCAGCAACUCCAACAGCAGCAGCAACAGCAGCAACUCCAGCAGCAGCAGCAACAGCAGCAACUCCAGCAGCAGCAGCAACAGCAGCAGCAGCAACAACAACAGCAGCAGCACCAGCAACAUAUGUUACAGCUUCAGAAACAGCAGCAGCAACAGCAAUUGUUUCAAAAUCAUCUGAACUCUCGCCCCAGGUCUGCUGCUCCGAGUAAUGCAAGUGGAUACUCUGACCGUUUGAGUGCGACGAACUUCCAGAAUUUAAUGUAUCCAUCAAGCGCUUCUCAAGGCGGAGUUCCUGGUCAAUCACCUCAAUUGAAGGCAUCGUCGUCGAUGAGAGUGUCAGCUCCACCUUCAGCUGCUUCUGUCCCUGCUGCAUCCUCGCCUUCUAAUUUGAUUAUGAUGAAGAACAGUGGUCUCCAUCAACAAGCAAAAGCUCUGCAGGCUCUCUCCACCCCGAAUCACCAGUCACAAAGCAUGAGUUCGUCGAAGAUUGGCCACUCCCUUACUAAUCUUUCUACUGGAGGAGCAGGGGACCUAUCUCGAUCUUCAAAUGCUCCGGUUGCUUCUGGUUCGCCAUCUAACUCGGUCUCCAAAAGUACUGGUGGUAGCCCACCUGCAUCUGGAAGUGCGAAGGGUGGCCAGCCAGUUGUCCAAUUGUCAUCACCUCAACAACAUGCAGCAAAGAACUCUCCUUCAACUUCUGGAUCCAAGUCGGCUUCAACAAAUCCCUACAGCAGUAUGCCUAUGCCAUCGAUCCUUGGUCAGCAACCAAACAUGGCUCACUCUGGUGGUAAGCAGCAGUCACAUGGACCCUCAUUGAAACAACAGCAGGCGUUCCCACAAGGCCAUGGCCACGGCCAUUUCUUCAUCUCCAAUGCCUUUGCGCCACAAGGUCCGCCUCAGCAUGUAAAUGCUGGAGCUGGUGCUGGCCUCUACCAAAAGCGCUCGGCUGACAAGACGCAGCAGCAGCAGCAGCAGCAGCAGAAUGCUGUCUCUGGUUCGUCUGCGAUGCUCUCUCUUGGUUCCAUGUCGAUGUCCACAUCUGCGGUUCCAGCCGAUGCGGGGAAGGCUCAUAGUGCAGCUGGCAGUAACAUGAAGGCCAAUCUUCAUCCAGCGCCUGGUGGUUUUAUGCACCUUGCGACAGCGGGGCAAUCUGCGAGUGGUUCGCCUCACUCUCACCUUUCAGCGGCACAAUUGACGUUUUCAAUGCCAAUGCCCGUAAAGCCUACCAGUGAUCAGAAGCCUGCUGCUGGUAAUGGACCUCUAUCCAUACUUGUUUCCCCUGCAGACGUUGUUCCAUGUACCGCCACCAUAUAACUUGACUCAGUUGUUUCGACUAACAUAAAACCCUUGUGUUUGUCAGGUAAGUAAAGGACCUAGACGCCAGAGCAUGGGGAUGCUGCUAAUCUGAGUCGGCGAGCUAACUGCUAAUUCUGUCGGAAGCUCGGCGCGCGGAAGAAGCGAUUGCAUGGCAAGAGGCAUAGCUGCGAGAGCCGGAUCGUCGACGAGGAGGAUGAUGCACCCAUUCCAUCCAUUCAGGGGCUCUGGCAAAUCUGUGGAGUAAAACUGUGGAACGGCUGGCUGAUGGGAGUGAUACUUGUGUGUAGUAGGUUAUCCUCCCAUGGUGGAAAGCUGGAGGUGCAUAGAAACCCCUUUUUUUAGCAGUUUUAUGCAAGAUUGUCAAAAGCUGGUCUCUCUCUGAACUUCUCCCCUCCCCUCUCCUCUCCUCGAAGUGCUGCUCUGCUCUGGUCUGGUCUCUUUAGAUUUGUUCCUUUUGUUGUUGUCUUAACUGAAGGAAGAAGGUUUAAUUAGAAUGCAGGUCAAGGGAAACUUUUGUGAUGCUGCUGCUCUUGCCUUCCUCUUUUCUUUCUUUCUUUCUGUGUUUCUUUCCUUUUUUUUUCUCCAUGUGUUUUGUCAAUACUCAGAUCUGCUUGGAUUGUUUUAGAAACAAUUUGGGGCAGAGAGGGAAAUAUCUCUCAAGGAGUAGGAGUAGUAGUAGUAGUAUGUUGGAUUGUUUUAGAAACAACUGGGGCGGAGGCAGAGAGGCAGAUAAGUAGUACUAGUAGUUGUUGCAUAGCAUAGCAUGAGAGUGACCAUGACCUGCCUUUUGGGUGUGUGCGUUGUAAUUAGCUAGGUAGCCUUGUAGAAGAAAUGAAUCAAUCAAGGCGGUGGAUGGAUGGAUGGAUAAUCUUGUUAAGAUAGCAAAGCAGAGUAAUUCUGGCCUGUGUGAUGACUCGGCACUGCAGUGCUCACUCAUCCGAAAGUGCUACUCUUUCCGGUGCGCAGUCCGGCACGCCACUCUUCCACUCCGCCAUUUGUUAACUUGCCCGGACGGACGGACGGACGCGUGCUGCCGCUAUCUUCUUCCUAAUCGUACCAAUCUUCUAUUUAUAUCUAAUCUAUCUAUCUAUCUAUCUAUGACACUGGGGCUGGAUGAUGAUGAUCUCAUUCACAUGGAUCGCUCUCGGCCAUCACACGUGUCCGGCCUAACAGCCACCCGACGUGCAGGCUAAAAAGUAAAGUAUCUGGAAAAUUUUGCCUUGGCCGGGGGACAUCGCUUUCCUUUCGCUUGGCGCAAUGGCAUGGCGUUCCCUCCCUUUCCUGUCCGGAGUGGGUCUGCGCGCACGCACGCACGCACGGAGCCUUUGUCCAGAUGCACCGCCCCGGUUGUUGGUGACAUGUGAUUAAUCGCGUGCUGGAUUGAUUGUUUGUUUGUUUGGGUUAACCUGGCCUUUGCCUUUCUUUCCGGCACGCACUCAUGGCUCAUCCGUCCAUGGGAUGCCAUGCAGUAGGAGUAGGAGUACUGGUGGUAGUACUACUACCUCGCUGCGAUAUCGUGUGCAUACACACAUCAGGUGGCCCCAUGGCCUGUCAUUAUUGCCAAAAACUCUUGUCUUUGAUUGGGACGGGGAGAGAGGUGCGCCAGUGCUUGUUCUGUGCGUCCAGUUGUUGUUUUCGUCAGUAAAAUCUGGUGUCCCUGUCGCCGUCGUGACGUAGCACCGCCAGGCUGUUCUGCGAGUCGCCAGAGUUUACCGGCAACUGGAUUUGCAUGCCCACGCCGUUUGCGCGCUACGUGCGCCGGUCACAAGCGCCUGGGCUGGGUGGGCCACCCGUGCUCGCGCUGUGAACCUUGGGCGGGGCGGUGGAACUCCGGUGGGCGAAAACGGCGAAUGCUUGUUUGGUGAUCGUCGGCUUCAGAUACGAUCUACGGUCCAAGUAGGCAAAAAGCGUGGAGAUGGGAAAAGAUGCAGGAUUGAGCGUCCCCGAGAAGUGUUUGAUAGCACAUGAGAAGGCAAAGGAAUUCUACCAAGAGGUUUGAGUGCACUAAAAUUUCCUCCAACGUAGAGUAUGAGUGAAUCAUAGGGAUUUCAAUCACGUGAAUCGAACGACCAAUGCAGGAAAGUUUUUAAAGGAUCCAAAUCUUUUGAAAAUCCUACAAAUUUCAUUUGAAUCAAAGGAGCUCUCAAGGAAAUAGAGGCGGUAUGGUUCGCACAUGUCUGUUCAAGGAUAUUGGGAGAUCUAGAUCUCCGCGAGUGACGCUGCCGAACGAAGAGACUACCUGACUAAUAAAAAAUGCUACACAUAGAAGGGAACUACCAAUUGAGGAUACGAUGAACAUCCUUACUCUUCCAGGAAGAAGAAAGGAACUAACUAAGCAAUUUACAAUCUCUUAGAAUUUACAUAUAGAGGAGGCAUCACUGUCAUGUUACCAGCCAUCAGACCAAUAGGGAUAGAUUUUAGGAAAAGAGAGUGGGAGAGGAGACCCCAAGGUGUGAGAGGAUUGAGUGGUCCAAGAGGAUGUUAUGUUGGGUGGGGUAUCCAACAAGAGGACUCAUAUGUAUGUGAAGAGUGACCCUCCACUGUGGCCAAACAUCCCUCCGACAUCAGCCACUCGAUCUCUAUUAUCGAUGCCCCGUCUAUUCUAUUCUACAAACCCUCCAACUCCCCAUCAUCCACCCUCCCCUCCCAACCCCACUUAGAACCUCGGUACAUACGAGCUUUCAAUUCGGAUCUAAGAUAUUCUUUUCACUUUCAACUCGCUUUCUAUAAAAACAGUAGACAUAACAACUUUAACCAAUGUUUCUUGCUUAGAUCUAUAACUUUGCUUUCGGCACUUACCUCGAAAUAAUCCCCAGGGUCAUGAAGUGGGAUCAUACCAUCGGUGCUUACAUCUAAAACUUUGAAUCUCUCAAUCACCUGGAAAUAACCCUCACGGCCAUGAAGAGGAAGGACACCAUCGAUCCUUCGAUAUAGAACUUUGAAUGCGACAAUCACCUGGAAAUAACCCUCACGACCAUGAAGAGGAAGGACACCAUCGAUGCUUGGAUAUAGAACUUUGAAUCUGGCAAUCACUUGGAAAGAACCCCCACUAUCAUGAAGAGGAAGAACAACAUUAUUGGAAAUUCAGUUAAUAGUUGUUUUGAAGAAAUCUCUAAACUAUAAACUAUGAUGCUUAGAUCUAGAACUAUGAAUCCGGCAAUCACCUGGAAAUAACCCUCGCGGUCAUGGAGAGGGAGGACACCAUUGAUGCUUAGAUCUAGAACUUUGAGUCCAGCAAUCACCUGGAAAUAANNNNNNNNNNNNNNNNNNNNNNNNNNNNNNNNNNNNNNNNNNNNNNNNNNNNNNNNNNNNNNNNNNNNNNNNNNNNNNNNNNNNNNNNNNNNNNNNNNNNNNNNNNNNNNNNNNNNNNNNNNNNNNNNNNNNNNNNNNNNNNNNNNNNNNNNNNNNNNNNNNNNNNNNNNNNNNNNNNNNNNNNNNNNNNNNNNNNNNNNNNNNNNNNNNNNNNNNNNNNNNNNNNNNNNNNNNNNNNNNNNNNNNNNNNNNNNNNNNNNNNNNNNNNNNNNNNNNNNNNNNNNNNNNNNNNNNNNNNNNNNNNNNNNNNNNNNNNNNNNNNNNNNNNNNNNNNNNNNNNNNNNNNNNNNNNNNNNNNNNNNNNNNNNNNNNNNNNNNNNNNNNNNNNNNNNNNNNNNNNNNNNNNNNNNNNNNNNNNNNNNNNNNNNNNNNNNNNNNNNNNNNNNNNNNNNNNNNNNNNNNNNNNNNNNNNNNNNNNNNNNNNNNNNNNNNNNNNNNNNNNNNNNNNNNNNNNNNNNNNNNNNNNNNNNNNNNNNNNNNNNNNNNNNNNNNNNNNNNNNNNNNNNNNNNNNNNNNNNNNNNNNNNNNNNNNNNNNNNNNNNNNNNNNNNNNNNNNNNNNNNNNNNNNNNNNNNNNNNNNNNNNNNNNNNNNNNNNNNNNNNNNNNNNNNNNNNNNNNNNNNNNNNNNNNNNNNNNNNNNNNNNNNNNNNNNNNNNNNNNNNNNNNNNNNNNNNNNNNNNNNNNNNNNNNNNNNNNNNNNNNNNNNNNNNNNNNNNNNNNNNNNNNNNNNNNNNNNNNNNNNNNNNNNNNNNNNNNNNNNNNNNNNNNNNNNNNNNNNNNNNNNNNNNNNNNNNNNNNNNNNNNNNNNNNNNNNNNNNNNNNNNNNNNNNNNNNNNNNNNNNNNNNNNNNNNNNNNNNNNNNNNNNNNNNNNNNNNNNNNNNNNNNNNNNNNNNNNNNNNNNNNNNNNNNNNNNNNNNNNNNNNNNNNNNNNNNNNNNNNNNNNNNNNNNNNNNNNNNNNNNNNNNNNNNNNNNNNNNNNNNNNNNNNNNNNNNNNNNNNNNNNNNNNNNNNNNNNNNNNNNNNNNNNNNNNNNNNNNNNNGUCAUGAAGAUGAAGGACAUCCUUGAUGCUUAGAUCUAGAACUUUGAAUCCGACAAUCACCUGCAAAUAACCCUCAUGGUCAUGAAGAUGAAGG